rnacentral:rRNA from 1 species
CCUACGGGAGGCAGCAGUGAGGAAUAUUGGUCAAUGGGCUUACGCCUGAACCAGCCAAGUCGCGUGAGGGAAGACUGCCCUAUGGUUUGUAAACCUCUUUUGUCAGGGAGAAACGCCGGCUACGUGUAGCCGGACUGAGAGUACCUGAAGAAAAAGCAUCGGCUAAGUCCGUGCCAGCAGCCGCGGUAAUACGGAGGAUGCGAGCGUGAUCCGGAUGUAUUGGGGUUAAAGGGUGCGUAGGCGGAAUGCCAAGUGAGCGGUAAAACCGCGGGGUCAAACCGCGCUCUGCCGUUGAAACUGGCGUUCUUGAGUGGGCGAGAAGUAAGCGGAAUGCGUGGUGUAGCGGUGGAAUGCGUAGAUAUCAGGAAGAACUCCGAUUGCGAAGGCAGGAUACCGGCGCCCAACUGACGCUGAAGAACGAAAGCGUGGGGAGCGAACAGGAUUAGAUACCCUAGUAGUC